CUGGAGAGGAUCAAACAGGAUCGGACAUAAUCAGGGAGGACCAGACAGGAUCAGACAGGACCAGACAGGACCAGCGAAGAUCAGACAGGACCAGGGAGGAUCAGACAGGACCAGGGAGGAUCAGACAGGAUCAGACAGGGUCAGACAUGACCAGAAAGGGUCAGACAUGACCAGAGAGGAUCAGGGAGGACUAGGGAAUAUCAGACAGGACCGGACAGGACCAGAGAGGAUCAGACAGGACCAGGGAGGAUCAGACAGGACCGGACAGGAUCAGGGAGGACUAGGGAAUAUCAGACAGGACCGGACAGGACCAGCGAGGAUCAGACAGGACCAGGGAGGAUCAGACAGGAUCAGACAGGGUCAGACAGGACCAGGGAGGAUCAGACAGGACCGGACAGGAUCAGGGAGGACUAGGGAAUAUCAGACAGGACCGGACAGGACCAGCGAGGAUCAGACAGGACCAGGGAGGAUCAGACAGGAUCAGACAGGGUCAGACAUGACCAGAGAGGAUCAGACAAGACCAGACAAGACAAAAUAAGGCUCUUGGGUAAGCAGCCAGUUAGCAAAUAACUCAUAAUGAAUGUCAUAUUUGAUCUUGGCUUGCCUGAGGGUGAUAUAGAAUAUGAAUGGUUCCCAGAUUGUGUUAAAGUCCGUCAGUUUGUUAUUUCAUUUGAAGGAGGAUCUCUCCAAGGGGGGCAGGUCAGACAGUAAAUUAAGCCAGAGUAUGGUUUAAACAUUGGAUCCAGUUUAACAGUAUCACUUUUUUUGCAGAUGAAGGAAAACAGUAGGAACUGUUUUUUGUCCUUGGGGAUAGAAGAAACACAGGGGUCGUCAUCAUCAAAGUACGUAUGCAGAGUGAUACGGAUGCAGGAAGGGUAAUAUGGAGGAUGACAGAGAAUGCUCAGAACUUCUUUCCAGUAAUUCUCUCUAAUGGGACAAAACCAAUACCUCAUGGAGAUGAGUGUUGGGGAGGUCCGUUUGGCAGAAUUGACACAGAGGAAAGCCCAGGAAGUUCCAGAUCAGGGUGACCAAUACAGCCUACCUGUUGACGGUGAAGAAUGGAUCAAGCAGAAGGUCCACAAAAGGAAGUGGAAGCACCCCAGAUGGAUAGGUUCCUACCAGGCCAUCGCAGAAACACCUAGAGCGGUGAAGGUCUAGGAGCAUCAGGGGUGGCACCACCUAUUGCACUACCAGAAGACGUCACAACCACCAUAACAGAUAAGAGUGCACACCAAGACCGUUAUUUCUAUCCUCAAUCUCCUGAGGAUUGCUUACAGUCUAAAGCACAUUUUAUGGAUGAUUCUUAUAAUCACUAUGCUUGAGUUACUUUGCAUUUGUUGAGGCCUGGUGGCCUCAAAGGAGGGAAUGACUGGGAUAAACAAAGGCCUCAUACCUUUUAAAGGGUUAAUAAAUUGUGUGAUGACAAACUGUAGGGUCUUCUCUUAGGAGACCUCUGUGUGUGUGUUAACACCUGUUUUGAGUGUUGUGCCCUUCAGACAAUAUCAGAAGGCGGAAACCACCUACGCUCAUACUCCUCCUGUCUGGGCCCCACCAUGGCUGUCUGAGGUUCUGAGAAGACGACUGGUUUUCUGAGAACACAAGGCCACUGCAGGCCUGAUGGAAACCGCCUACGCUCACACUCCUCCUGUCUGGGCCCCACCAUGGAUGUCUGACGCUCUGAGAACACAAGGCCACUGCAGGCCUGAUGGAAACUGCCUACGCUCACACUCCUCCUGUCUGGGCCCCACCAUGGAUGUCUGAGGCUCUGAGAACACAAGGCCACUGCAGGCCUGAUGGAAACUGCCUACGCUCAUACUCCUCCUGUCUGGGCCCCACCAUGGAUGUCUGAGGCUCUGAGAACACAAGGCCACUGCAGGCCUGAUGGAAACUGCCUACGCUCACACUCCUCCUGUCUGGGC
ensembl:lncRNA